CAGUCGCCGCGGGAAUACGUAGGGUGCGAGCGUUAAUCGGAAUUACUGGGCGUAAAGCGUGCGCAGGCGGUUGUGUAAGACAGGUGUGAAAUCCCCGGGCUUAACCUGGGAACUGCGCUUGUGACUGCACAGCUAGAGUAUGGCAGAGGGGGGUGGAAUUCCACGUGUAGCAGUGAAAUGCGUAGAGAUGUGGAGGAACACCGAUGGCGAAGGCAGCCCCCUGGGCCAAUACUGACGCUCAUGCACGAAAGCGUGGGGAGCAAACAGGAUUAGAUACCCGCGUAGUCCCUGUCUCUUAUAU
rnacentral:rRNA from 1 species